rnacentral:rRNA from 1 species
GACGAACGCUGGCGGCGUGCCUAAUACAUGCAAGUCGAGCGAAUGGAUUAAGAGCUUGCUCUUAUGAAGUUAGCGGCGGACGGGUGAGUAACACGUGGGUAACCUGCCCAUAAGACUGGGAUAACUCCGGGAAACCGGGGCUAAUACCGGAUAACAUUUUGAACCGCAUGGUUCGAAAUUGAAAGGCGGCUUCGGCUGUCACUUAUGGAUGGACCCGCGUCGCAUUAGCUAGUUGGUGAGGUAACGGCUCACCAAGGCAACGAUGCGUAGCCGACCUGAGAGGGUGAUCGGCCACACUGGGACUGGAACACGGCCCAGACUCCGACGGGAGGCAGCAGUAGGGAAUCUUCCGCAAUGGACGAAAGUCUGACGGAGCAACGCCGCGUGAGUGAUGAAGGCUUUCGGGUCGUAAAACUCUGUUGUUAGGGAAGAACAAGUGCUAGUUGAAUAAGCUGGCACCUUGACGGUACCUAACCAGAAAGCCACGGCUAACUACGUGCCAGCCGCCGCAGUAA